AAGACGUUGAGGGAGACGAGAGACACGGAAGAGUGAAGACUUACCUUUGGAGUUAGGACCCAUUGCCACUGAAAAUCGACCGGUUGGAUGAGAGAGACGUCGUGAGGGAUAUCGACGGACUGGAGGAAAUUGACGGUAAGGGAGCAAAAUAACAAAGGACUCUGCAGAGGACGCUGUCGGUUGUCGAAGGCUGAGGGAAGGGAAAUCGCAAUCGGCAUAGGAG
rnacentral:misc_RNA from 1 species